CGUCCCCCCGCAACGAAACGUCGUGAACCCCGUCAGGCCCGGAAGGGAGCAGCGGCAGCGGCGAUCUUCGGGUGCCGGGGUGUGGCGG
rnacentral:SRP_RNA from 1 species